rnacentral:rRNA from 1 species
GAUGAACGCUGGCGGCGUGCCUAAUACAUGCAAGUCGAGCGAACAGACGAGGAGCUUGCUCCUCUGACGUUAGCGGCGGACGGGUGAGUAACACGUGGAUAACCUACCUAUAAGACUGGGAUAACUUCGGGAAACCGGAGCUAAUACCGGAUAAUAUAUUGAACCGCAUGGUUCAAUAGUGAAAGACGGUUUUGCUGUCACUUAUAGAUGGAUCCGCGCCGCAUUAGCUAGUUGGUAAGGUAACGGCUUACCAAGGCAACGAUGCGUAGCCGACCUGAGAGGGUGAUCGGCCACACUGGAACUGAGACACGGUCCAGACUCCUGCGGGAGGCAGCAGUAGGGAAUCUUCCGCAAUGGGCGAGAGCCUGACGGAGCAACGCCGCGUGAGUGAUGAAGGUCUUCGGAUCGUAAAACUCUGUUAUUAGUGAAGAACAAAUGUGUAAGUAACUAUGCACGUCUUGACGGUACCUAAUCAGAAAGCCACGGCUAACUACGUG